AUUGAACGCUGGCGGCAGGCCUAACACAUGCAAGUCGAGCGGAUGAAGGGAGCUUGCUCCUGGAUUCAGCGGCGGACGGGUGAGUAAUGCCUAGGAAUCUGCCUGGUAGUGGGGGAUAACGUCCGGAAACGGGCGCUAAUACCGCAUACGUCCUGAGGGAGAAAGUGGGGGAUCUUCGGACCUCACGCUAUCAGAUGAGCCUAGGUCGGAUUAGCUAGUUGGUGGGGUAAAGGCCUACCAAGGCGACGAUCCGUAACUGGUCUGAGAGGAUGAUCAGUCACACUGGAACUGAGACACGGUCCAGACUCCUACGGGAGGCAGCAGUGGGGAAUAUUGGACAAUGGGCGAAAGCCUGAUCCAGCCAUGCCGCGUGUGUGAAGAAGGUCUUCGGAUUGUAAAGCACUUUAAGUUGGGAGGAAGGGCAGUAAGUUAAUACCUUGCUGUUUGGACGUUACCAACAGAAUAAGCACCGGCUAACUGCGU
rnacentral:rRNA from 1 species